AUUGAACGCUGGCGGCAGGCCUAACACAUGCAAGUCGAACGAGUGGCGGACGGGUGAGUAAUGUCUGGGAAACUGCCUGAUGGAGGGGGAUAACUACUGGAAACGGUAGCUAAUACCGCAUACCAUCGGAUGUGCCCAGAUGGGAUUAGCUAGUAGGUGGGGUAACGGAUCACCUAGGCGACGAUCCCUAGCGGGUCUGAGAGGAUGACCAGCCACACUGGAACGUAGACACGGUCCAGACUCCUACGGGAGGCAGCAGUGGGGAAUAUUGGACAAUGGGCGCAAGCCUGAUGCAGCCCUGCCGCUUGUAUGAAGAAGGCCUUCGGGUUUUAAAGUACGUUCAGCGGGGAGGCGUUACCCGCAGAAGAAGCACCGGCUAACUCCGUGCCAGCAGCCGCGGUAAUAC
rnacentral:rRNA from 1 species